AUAUAUAUAAUAUUACAGAUACAUAUUUUCUACGUUUGAACCUAGCAGUUUAUUAUCGGGUUUGUCCCAAUGAACCCAAUGAAUAACCGUAGAUGUACAAUCUUUAUAAUAAUAGCAAUAUUUGCGUUAUCCGAGUAUAGACCCAACCGUUACUAACGACCGGUUGAUUAUACAUCUCAGAAGUCGCCAAAUUGGAAAAAUUUGUCAAUGUAAACAAAUAUUAUUACGAUUAAAAGUACGCCAAGACCACCCACGACGGGUCGACCGAGAUUUACUUAUCAUCUCCAUACAUAAAAUAACAUAAACCAAAAACAUACAAUUUUUAUAGUAGGCAAUUAAAUUAAAUUUGUAUUAUUGUUAUAUUUAAUACAUGCACUAA